CGCCUAACACAUGCAAGUCGAACGAGCAAGAGAGAGCUUGCUUUCUCGAGCGAGUGGCGAACGGGUGAGUAACGCGUGAGGAACCUGCCUCAAAGAGGGGGACAACAGUUGGAAACGACUGCUAAUACCGCAUAAGCCCACGGGUCGGCAUCGACCAGAGGGAAAAGGAGCAAUCCGCUUUGAGAUGGCCUCGCGUCCGAUUAGCUAGUUGGUGAGGUAACGGCCCACCAAGGCGACGAUCGGUAGCCGGACUGAGAGGUUGAACGGCCACAUUGGGACUGAGACACGGCCCAGACUCCUACGGGAGGCAGCAGUGGGGAAUAUUGCACAAUGGGGGAAACCCUGAUGCAGCGACGCCGCGUGGAGGAAGAAGGUCUUCGGAUUGUAAACUCCUGUUGUUGGGGAAGAUAAUGACGGUACCCAACAAGGAAGUGACGGCUAACUACGUGCCAGCAGCCGCGGUAAAACGUAGGUCACAAGCGUUGUCCGGAAUUACUGGGUGUAAAGGGAGCGCAGGCGGGAAGACAAGUUGGAAGUGAAAUCUAUGGGCUCAACCCAUAAACUGCUUUCAAAACUGUUUUUCUUGAGUAGUGCAGAGGUAGGCGGAAUUCCCGGUGUAGCGGUGGAAUGCGUAGAUAUCGGGAGGACACCAGUGGCGAAGCGGCCUACUGGGCACCAACU
rnacentral:rRNA from 1 species